rnacentral:rRNA from 1 species
AGAGCGAACGCUGGCGGCAGGCCUAACACAUGCAAGUCGAGCGGCCGUAGCAAUACGGCAGCGGCAGACGGGAUAGUAACACGUGGGAACGCGCCCUUCGGUUCGGAAUAACUCAGGGAAACUCGAGCUAAUACCGGAUACGCCCUUACGGGGAAAGAUUUAUUGCCGAAGGAACGGCCCGCGUCCGAUUAGCUAGUUGGUGAGGUAAUGGCUCACCAAGGCUACGAUCGGUAGCUGGUCUGAGAGGAUGACCAGCAUCACUGGGACUGAGACACGGCCCAGACUCCUACGGGAGGCAGCAGUGGGGAAUAUUGGACAAUGGGCGCAAGCCUGAUCCAGCCAUGCCGCGUGGAUGAUGACGGCCUUAGGGUUGUAAAGUCCUUUUAACGGGGAAGAUAAUGACGGUACCCGUAGAAUAAGCCCGGCUAACUUCGUGCCAGCAGCCGC